rnacentral:ncRNA from 1 species
GAGGAAUUGUGCGGCGUGUAGUUGAGGAACACAUAGCCCCGGCACUGGUCGAUGGCAUGGAACAGCGGGUUCCAGUCGAACAUGGCCACCAUGUAGGCGGGCAGGGAAUUCGCCACGAACAUCUUGCCCGAGGCGAUCAUGUUGGCCCGCUG